ACGGCUCAGUAACACGUGGACAACCUAACCUAUGGUGGGGGAUAACCCCGGGAAACUGGGGAUAAUACCCCAUAGACUAUGGAAGCUGGAAUGCUCUGUAGCCGAAAGGUCAGCCGCCGUAGGAUGGGUCUGCGGCCGAUUAGGUAGUUGUUGGGGUAACGGCCCAACAAGCCUGUAAUCGGUACGGGUUGUGGGAGCAAGAGCCCGGAGAUGGAUUCUGAGACACGAAUCCAGGCCCUACGGGGCGCAGCAGGCGCGAAAACUUUACAAUGCGGGAAACCGUGAUAAGGGAACUCCGAGUGCCCGUUAAAUCGGGCUGUCCACCUGUUUAAAUAACUGGUGAAGAAAGGGCCGGGCAAGACCGGUGCCAGCCGCCGCGGUAAUACCGGCGGCUCGAGUGGUGGCCACUAUUACUGGGCUUAAAGCGUUCGUAGCUGGUUUGUUAAGUCUCUGGGGAAAUCUUCCGGCUUAACCGGAAGGCGUCUCAGGGAUACUGGCAGACUAGGGACCGGAAGAGGUGAGGGGUACUCCAGGGGUAGGAGUGAAAUCCUGUAAUCCUUGGGGGACCACCUGUGGCGAAGGCGCCUCACCAGGACGGCUCCGACAGUGAGGGACGAAAGCUGGGGGAGCAAACCGGAUUAGAUACCCGGGUAGUCCCAGCCGUAAACGAUGUGCGUUAGGUGUAUCGGUGACCACGAGUCACCGAGGUGCCGAAGAGAAAUCGUGAAACGUACCGCCUGGGAAG
rnacentral:rRNA from 1 species